CCUGCCCACUCCACGGAGCUGCCCUCCAUCCACCACAGAGCUGCCCUCCGCCCACCUCGGAGCUGCCCUCCCUCCACCGCGGAGCUGCCCUCCCUCCACCCACCGUGAAGCUGCCCUCCAUCCACGAGCACCUGCAUGGACUUCACUCCAUCCACGAGCACCUGCAGACAGAGAGGCAUGGACUUCAGCCCCGCUUCCUCAGAUGCAGACAGACCCCUCGGCUGGCACCCGUCAUCACCUUUGAGACCCCAACCCUCAUUCCAGACCUGAACACUCCUAGAGCCAGAAGCAGCAGGUGCCUGCCCAUGAUGGCUGAUGUCGUGUAUUCACCUGGUGGGCCAUGGUGCCCAGAGGGUUGGUCAAACACCUGUCUGGCUGUCGGUGUGAGGGUGUUUCUGUCUGGCUGUCGGUGUGAAGGUGUUUCUAUCUGGCUGUUGGUGUGAAGGUGUUUCAGUCUGGCUGUCGGUGUGAAGGUGUUUCUGUCUGGCUGUUGGUGUGAAGGUGUUUCGGUCUGGCUGUCAGUGUGAAGGUGUUUCUGGCUGCUGGUGUGAAGUUGUUUCUGUCUGGCUGUUGGUGUGAAGGUGUUUCUCUCUGGCUAUUAGUGGGAAAGUGUUUCUGUCUGGCUGUCGGUGUGAAGGUGUUUCUGUCUGUCAGUGUGAAGGUGUUUCUGUCUGGCUGUCGGUGUGAGGUGUUUCUGUCUGGCUGUCGGUGUGAAGGUUUUUCUGGCUGUCAGUGUGAAGGUGUUUCUGUCUCGCUGUCAGUGUGAAGGUGUUUCUGGCUGUUGGUGUGAAGGUGUUUCUGUCUGGCUGUUGGUGUGAAGGUGUUUUUUAGAAGGGAUUAAUGGUUAGACUGGUGGACUGUGGGUGAAGGAGAUGGCCCUCAUACCGUGGGCCU
rnacentral:lncRNA from 1 species